rnacentral:rRNA from 1 species
UACGUAGGAUGCAAGCGUUGUCCGGAAUUAUUGGGCGUAAAGGGCGCGCAGGCGGUAUGACAAGUCAGAUGUGAAAGAGGCCGGCUUAACCGGCAAGGGUCAUUUGAAACUGUCAGACUAGAGUGCAGCAGAGGAUAGUGGAAUUCCCGGUGUAGUGGUGAAAUGCGUAGAUAUCGGGAGGAAUACCAGUGGCGAAGGCGGCUUACUGGCUCAUUCCUGACGCUGAGGAGCGAAAGCGUGGGGAGCAAACGGGG